rnacentral:tRNA from 1 species
CGCCCAGGUCAGGGCCCUGCCCAGGAAAAACUCCUAGAGCGGGUGUCGCAGGUUCGAAUCCUGCCGGGG